rnacentral:sRNA from 1 species
CAGAGAAGACCGCAGGAUGUGCAAAGAUGAGGAUGAGUGUGAAGAGGGAAAACAUGACUGUACUGAAAAACAAAUGGAAUGCAAGAACCUCAUUGGCACAUACAUGUGCAUCUGUGGACCUGGGUAUCAGCGGAGACCUGACGGAGAAGGCUGUGUAGAUGAGAAUGAAUGUCAGACGAAGCCAGGGAUCUGUGAGAAUGGGCGCUGCCUCAACACCCGUGGGAGCUACACCUGUGAGUGUAAUGAUGGGUUCACCGCCAGCCCCAACCAGGAUGAGUGCCUCGGUGAGUACAGUCGGCAGCGCACUUUCCUAACCUCAGCCUCCACACUGGGAUGCCAGAAACCCACACUUCUUAUUUGAAAUACAAGAAAAUGUCAAAAUCUGAGGAAGGAUAAAAAAUGUUCAUAUUUUGGAGAUGCCGUAGUGACUGUGAUUGUCCAUUGGGCUUAGCACCACCCUGCAGCUAAGUUCUUCCUUUGCUAAUUGGAUCCUGAAUCACUUGUUUGGAAUUUCUUGGCUGCCUUUGAAGCCCUUGGUGAUCAGGAUCCACUUCCAUAUGUUUCUCUGCCCCUCUCUCUGUAAGCAUGGCUAUUCCCCUGUAUUUCUGGGAGCAGAGAGAGUUAUAAGCUUGUCUAGGCCAAUGUCUUUCUGCCUACUUACUGAAUGUCUUAUUUGUUUCCCUCAG